rnacentral:lncRNA from 1 species
ACUUCAAGCAUUGCUACCUUCCAUCCAGAAAUUCCUAGUGUUCCUGCAACUGUGGGUGAAGAAACUUGUAGCAUUCCGGCACCCUCGGGUGAAGAAACUUGUAGUAUUCUUCCAAACUUGGAUGCAGAAACUCCUAUCCAUCAUGUGACCUUGGCAGAGGAAUCCCCUAGUAUUUCUAGAACCUUGGGCGAAGAUACUCCAUCUGUCCCUGCAGCCUCCAAUGAAGAAGCUCCGGUAGGUACUCUGAUCUUCAGUGGAGGAACUCACACCCUUCCUGGAAAAUUGGAUUGUGAAACUAAGACCGUUCCUGCAACCUUGUGUGAGGAAACAACCAUGCCUGCAACGUUAGGUCAAGAAACUCCUACCCUUCCUGCAACAUUGGGUGAAGAAACUCAUAGUAUUCCCUCAACCUCUAGUGACGAAAAUCGUGGCAUUCCAACUAACUUGGAUGAAGAAACUCCUACUGAUCCUGUGACCUUGGCAGAGGAAAGCCCCAGUAUUCCUGAAACCUUGGGUGAAGAAACUCCAUCUGUUCCUCCAAUAUUCAGUGAAGAAACUCCAGCUGUUCCUCCGUCAUUCAGUGAAGGAACCACUAUUCCUCCUUCCUUCAAUGAGGAAACUCCUACUGUUCCUGUAACAUUGGGUCCAGAAACUCUAACCAUUUCUACAACCACGAGUGAGGAAACUGCAAAGAUUCCUGCGACCUCGGG